AGAGUUUGAUCAUGGCUCAGGAUGAACGCUGGCGGCGUGCCUAAUACAUGCAAGUCGAACGGAGAAUUAGCAAUAAUUCUUAGUGGCGAACGGGUGAGUAACGCGUUGGUGACCUGCCCCGAAGAGUGGGAUAACAGUCCGAAAGGAUUGCUAAUACCUCAUGUGGUUAUCGGAUUUAGAAACUGAUAACUAAAGCAGAAAUGCGCUUUGGGAGGGACCUGCGUCCCAUCAGCUAGUUGGUGAGGUAACGGCUCACCAAGGCGACGACGGGUAAGGGGCCUGAGAGGGUGGCCCCUCACAAUGGAACUGAAACACGGUCCAUACACCUACGGGUGGCAGCAGUAGGGAAUAUUGGUCAAUGGGCGAAAGCCUGAACCAGCAACGCCGCGUGUGCGAUGAAGGUCUUCGGAUCGUAAAGCACUUUUCUGGGAGAUGAGAACGGACAGUAUCCCAGGAAUAAGCCUCGGCUAACUACGUGCCAGCAGCCGCGGUAAAACGUAGGAGGCAAGCGUUAUCCGGAUUUACUGGGCGUAAAGCGCGUGCAGGCGGUUCGGCAAGUUGGAUGUGAAAGCUCCUGGCUCAACUAGGAGAGGUCGUUCAAAACUACCGAACUUGAGGGCAACAGAGGAAAGUGGAAUUCCCGGUGUAGUGGUGAAAUGCGUAGAUAUCGGGAGGAACACCAGUGGCGAAAGCGACUUUCUGGGUUGCAUCUGACGCUCAGACGCGAAAGCUAGGGUAGCAAACGGGAUUAGAGACCCCGGUAGUCCUAGCAGUAAACGAUGUAGACUUGGUGUCGGUAGUGUCAAAGCUAUCGGUAUCGAAGCUAACGCGAUAAGUCUACCGCCUGGGGACUACGGCCGCAAGGUUAAAACUCAAAUGAAUUGACGG
rnacentral:rRNA from 1 species